rnacentral:rRNA from 1 species
CCCUUAGAUGUUCUGGGCUGCACGCGCGCUACACUGACAUACUCAGCAAGUUUCCUUGCCUGAAAGGGUUGGGUAAUCUUGUUAGUGUAUGUCGUGAUGGGGAUAGAAUAUUGUAAUUAUUGCUCUUUAACGAGGAAUUCCUAGUAAGCGCAAGUCAUCAGCUUGCGUUGAUUACGUCCCUGCCCUUUGUACACACCGCCCGUCGCUCCUACCGAUUGGGUGAUCCGGUGAAUGAUUCGGACCCUGGCUAUGCUAGCUACUAGCUACGUCAGGGAAAGUUUUGUGAACCUUAUCACUUGGAGGAAGGAGAAGUCGUAACA